rnacentral:lncRNA from 11 species
AGUUUCACCUGCUUUCUUUCUCCCUCUCAGACAAAAAUUAAGUGAAACAGACAGUUUCUAAUUCCAGAAAAUUAUGAUGAAUAAACAAAUUAGAGCGGGUCAAUGAAGUGCUUAUAUACAGUUGUCAAAUGCAUUGAAAAAGUGUAUGAAGACUUUCAGCUCAAUCCUAUUUACAUAAGGAGUGCUGCAACUAGGAAGAAAGGGAGAAGCUAUCUCAUAUCUUUUCAGAUCCCGCUACUUAAGCUGGAAUACACAACACUUGAGCUGGCGAAUGAGGAGAUGAUGCCCCUCCCCACCAGUUUCUCUUAA